AAUAAAUCGGCCCACAUAACAGCUUCAGCCCAAACACCAGCUUCUUUCUCCUCUUAAAAUUUCCUUCACGCUGAACUCCUUUUCUCAAAGUCUCACACUGAGAACCAAAAUCGGCCGUGCACUCCAGUCAGCCGUUGCCACCUCUUCGCCGAACCGCCGCCGCCCUGAAAUUCCGGCGCGGCCGUGUCUCACCUCCGACUCUCCUUCUCACAAUUUCCCCUCUACAAGAUCAGAUUCCACGCACACCGUUGAGAAAAGGGAUUGAGCCCUUGACCCUCUUCACAGAAAUCGCCGUUGUUGUGCUAAAAUCAGCAAGCGAUCGUCGUCCCUUCAUCUCUGGCAAAGCAGAGGCCUGCUCACGUUUGCCUAUUGCUGCGUCGUCGGCUGCCUUCGAGAUUUCCGCCGCCGCCUCCGUCCACCGUCCAAUUCCUCAAAAAAAAAAAAUUUUGAAACCCACCGCCGGGUCACCGUUACCUGGAGUUUUGCCUUCGAUAAGCUUCUAAAAAUGGGUGAGGCUGAGGCUGCUGUUGCGUUUCUCGGGCGAGCAGGUGAGGGCCCACCGCCUCCGUUGCUGCUGUACUCAGAUUCCGACGAGGCAGCUCGCCGUCGUCGCUUCCUUGAGCUCGACUAAACAGGACAGUCGGCUCCCCCCCUCAAAAGCUAACUUCAACAAUCCUAGGAUAUUCUGUUUUCGAUCAUAUAUUAUGCUCUUCGAUUUGAUGCUAUUCUCAUAGCUCGUGAAAUCUUGGUUAUUCUAUACUCUUGUUAUGAAAUGCUGUGGUUUUGCUACUGAUUAUGCAAAUUCUCAAUGCAUUUGACUUGUGUGAGAGCUUAUAGGUUGUUGGUUGUUCUAGGUGACUACCGAUUAUGCUGUUCUUUCUGUAAUAACUCAAGCUCAUUCUAGAUUACGUUGAGCUUAGGAAUGGAGGGAGUUAAGCCAAAUCUUACCUCUAAAGUUUGGCAGUAGAGCAAUGAAUGGAAUUCCUCCUCGUGGGUUAUUAGUGUAGCAUGGAGGGGAAAUGGGAAGUAAAAUGGAAGAGAGUUGCUGCUGAUUUGUUUGUUUGAAGGAGUGUAUUAGUAACUAUACUUGAGUAGUCUGUAGGGUGGUACAACAGUAGAGUGGCUGAUUUGAGCCCUUUGUGUACCUUGUGUAUGGCUGGAGUAAUGGAAGAGUGGGCUUGCUGCAGAGAUAGGAUAGCCGUUGCUGUUGCAGGGAAGGGAGUGAGCUGCUGCAGCUAUUCACCACACUCGCACACUACCUUUUUCUUUUUCUUUUUUCUUGCUAGCUGGUGUUGUAAUAGGUAUGUAGGAAAUGAGUGAUUGUAAAGUUUGAAAAGUUGUGGUGUGACUAGUAAAUCCUUCAGUAUCUCGGUAAA